CCUCGCCAUUUUUAAAGCUCCAGGUUUAGCAUAACGGAGCGACCUCCCCUACAUCCUACUUCAGGGUCGUCACAGCAACCCUGUGAAAGAGGAAGCACAAGGAAUAAUAAAUUCCUUUUUAGACAAAAAUGGAAAGAGAGGCCUGAAACAUGGAGGUUUUUUUUGCCUGAGGAUGCACAGGAAGUACAGUCCGUACUGAUCUAGUGGUCAUCGUCUCCUAACUGGGCUCACAGCUCCUACCACUUGCGUACGCGUCGUCCCGCACGGCCUAUUCAUAUCUCAACAGCCAUGCUCCAGACAGUGUAGGUCCUGACACCGCCCUAGUGCGAGCCAUGUUUGCCCAUGCCUCAGGUGGACAGAGGAGCCCAAAGAGCUAUGAAAAAAUCAUACCUGUGAAUACAACUAUAUGCUGUGUCCUGUGAGUCUUCCUAAGGAAUCACUGAUGCUGGGGGUGGUCUUGGAGAUAUCACAAACAAUGACCAAGUUGGAUUUAUCCCAGGAAUGGAAGAUUGAAAAGAAACCAAACGGUGCCCCACCCGCCCCUGAUCCCAGCACAGGACACUCCCUUUCAGGAUGUAUACAAAACCUCCUGGCAGGUUUGGGCAAGUUACAACAAUUCAGAUACCAUUAUCAAGAAGCUAUUUUCAUAAGAGAACAAAACACCAGACCAACACUGAGAAUACCCUAGUUAGGCAUCACAAAAAUCACGUAAAGAAUAUGCUGUUAACUGCCAAAUUUGGGUUAUUAUAGCGGUUCCAAAGUUAAAAAUCCAUUUACACUAAUAUAAAUUAGAUCUGCGUUUGUGUAAUUUUCAUGCAAUGAUCUUAAAGCUUUGGAGACAAGGAUUAUUAGCCUAAUUUCAAAGCUCGUCCAUAUAGCAGUAUUGAUAUGCACCAACUCUGCUAAAGGGCAGGAGAAUGAACGACCAUGGCACGAAUUUUUGAACAAUUUUUGAUUUAAUUACAUAAUGCACCUGUAGAUGUUUCUAGCAUAAACACAAUCGUAAAAAUCUA